GGUUGUAGCUCAGCGGUAGAACACCUGCUCUGAAUGCAGAAGGUCCCAGGUUCAAUUCCCAGCAUCGCCA